UACGAAGGGGGCUAGCGUUGUUCGGAAUUACUGGGCGUAAAGGGCGCGUAGGCUGUUCUGUAAGUCAGGCGUGAAAGCCCCGGGCUCAACCUGGGAAUUGCGCUUGAUACUGCGGCGCUGGAAGGUGGGAGAGGAUGGCGGAAUUCCCAGUGUAGAGGUGAAAUUCGUAGAUAUUGGGAAGAACACCGGUGGCGAAGGCGGCCAUCUGGCCCAUUUUUGACGCUGAGGCGCGAAAGCGUGGGGAGCAAACAGG
rnacentral:rRNA from 1 species